rnacentral:rRNA from 1 species
ACCGUGCAAAGGUAGCAUAAUAACUUGCCUAUUAAUUGUAGGCUAGAAUGAACGGAUAAACGAAAUAAGAACUGUCUCAAUUAGUAAACAUAAAAAUUAACAUCUACACGAAGAGUUGUAGAUACGGUCGAAGGACAAGAAGACCCUAUAGAGCUUCAUUUUACACAUAGAGAUACUAUGUAAAAAUUCGGUUGGGGCGACCUAGGGCAUUAUAUAACACCCUAAUAAACAAAGAUCUUUAAAUCUAUUAAAUGACCCUUAUUAAGAUCACAAGAUCAAGCUACCUUAGGGAUAACAGGCUAAUCCUAUUUAAGAGUCCAUAUCAAUAAUAGGGUUUGGCACCUCGAUGUUGGCUUAG